rnacentral:rRNA from 1 species
GAUGAACGCUGGCGGCGUGCCUAAUACAUGCAAGUCGAGCAAACAGACGAGGAGCUUGCUCCUCUGACGUUAGCGGCGGACGGGUGAGUAACACGUGGAUAACCUACCUAUAAGACUGGGAUAACUUCGGGAAACCGGAGCUAAUACCGGAUAAUAUAUUGAACCGCAUGGUUCAAUAGUGAAAGACGGUUUUGCUGUCACUUAUAGAUGGAUCCGCGCCGCAUUAGCUAGUUGGUAAGGUAACGGCUUACCAAGGCAACGAUGCGUAGCCGACCUGAGAGGGUGAUCGGCCACACUGGAACUGAGACACGGUACAGACUCCUACGGGAGGCAGCAGUAGGGAAUCUUCCGCAAUGGGCGAAAGCCUGACGGAGCAACGCCGCGUGAGUGAUGAAGGUCUUCGGAUCGUAAAACUCUGUUAUUAGGGAAGAACAAAUGUGUAAGUAACUAUGCACGUCUUGACGGUACCUAAUCAGAAAGCCACGGCUAACUACGUG